UUGGAAAUUGAAGUCUUUUGUCUCAUCCACAAAAUAGGUACAGCAUGGGCAGCAAAAGUGAAAACGUUUCCCACAAUGUCCUGUCAGUAUUCCUCAACUUGGAGGGAGCCAUUUCCAGAGUUCUUGGCCUCUUGGUUGAGAUUGCUUAUAAAUGUGUUAAUUAUUGUCAGUG
rnacentral:sRNA from 1 species